AGUGGCGAACGGGUGAGUAACGCGUGAGCAACCUGACCAGUUGAGGGGGAUAACACCUGGAAACAAGUGCUAAUACCGCAUAAGACCACGACCCGGCAUCGGGAUGAGGUCAAAGGAGAGAUCCGCAAUUGGAGGGGCUCGCGUCCCAUUAGAUAGUUGGCGGGGUAACGGCCCACCAAGUCCGCGAUGGGUAGCCGAGCUGAGAGGCUGAUCGGCCACACUGGAACUGAGACACGGUCCAGACUCCUACGGGAGGCAGCAGUGGGGAAUAUUGGGCAAUGGGCGCAAGCCUGACCCAGCAACGCCGCGUGAGGGAAGAAGGCUUUCGGGUUGUAAACCUCUGUCCUUGGUGACGAAGAAAGUGACGGUAGCCAAGGAGGAAGCCCCGGCUAACUACGUGCCAGCAGCCGCGGUAAUACGUAGGGGGCGAGCGUUGUCCGGAAUUACUGGGCGUAAAGGGUGCGUAGGUGGCGAAUUAAGUUGGAUGUGAAAUACCCGGGCUUAACUUGGGGGGUGCAUCCAAUACUGGUUAGCUAGAGUGCAGGAGAGGGAAGCGGAAUUCCUAGUGUAGCGGUGAAAUGCGUAGAUAUUAGGAGGAACACCAGUGGCGAAGGCGGCUUUCUGGACUGUAACUGACACUGAGGCACGAAAGCGUGGGGAGCAAACAGGAUUAGAUACCCUGGUAGUCCACGCU
rnacentral:rRNA from 1 species